rnacentral:snRNA from 1 species
AAAUAUGUCCACAAAUUCUAUGAUACUCCUCUCUUUAAGAGGUGGAUUGCACUCUUAGUCAAAGAGGACGACCUUCCCUGGUAGAGGAGAUCUAUUCUUCGGUCAAAUUUAUAGGAGUAGCUGUGAUCCCCUGCUACAACCUCCAAACAAGCUCUCAAGAGGUGGAGCCUAAUUGGUGACUCACUUCCGAUGAAUAAAGUGGAAGUGACAGUAUGU